CAUACAAGCAUUUGCAAAUCAAAGUCAAAAUAUCAUUAAAACAUUCGUAUCGUUUCCCCAGCUACGACUAAAAUUUAUUAUUUGUUUUUUAUAGGGAACAAAUACGAAAGACAGCUCUGGAGCUCCCUGAUUCACUUAAUGGCUUAAAAAUGGAAUAAAAAUUACACAAGGACUACCUUCGCAUCCUUGCUGUUAUUUAUUUUCUUAAUUCAUAUUCGUAUACAUAACAUAAAUGCAAAAGUAUUUUCUCAAGUUGAACGUACGUAUAUGUUAGGCAUGUAAGUUUUAGUGGUUGUAGACGAUACGGAAAGAACGGACAAGGAAGGAGACUUGGCCUGUGCGGGCAGCGCGGUGCGUAAGUCCGCUACCGCUGCUCACGAAUGGUGCACGUCGCUCUGAUCAUUUAAAUUCGGUGAUUUUCCACGAAUGUAAAAAAUAUUUUUUAUUUCUACAAUACACGAAAAUCCUAUCCUGAUAUAUAUGUUUUUUAUUGUCUGACGCGGACAAUAAGAGGCGAUAAAUGGCAAUAAGUGACGUUGGCUACAAGUCUGGUUCGAAAGAAAUCGGUGGAAUUUACCGUUACGACGACGCGUCGAGUAGUCUACGGAACUUAAUGGACUCAUGGAUUUGAAUUUGUAACAAUGGAUACAAUAAUAUGUAAUUUGUGCCCCGGGCACUUUAAGGGGAUUACGUCUACGGAUCAUCUGGUGGUCUGAUCAAGGGAAUUGCUGUUCGCACAAAUCAAUUCCUACUUAAAGCAAGGCUAUCAACGCCGGGAGGAUGUAGAUGACCGAAGGAAACGGGCAAGGCGAAGAAACUUGAUCACCCCGGGAGGCGCGGUGCUCCAGAGUUCGAGUUCGCUACCACUACUCAAGAACAAUAUCACCGUCACCAUGACAAACAGAGAAGAAAAUACAAAAUGUACAUAGGAGUCCAUAACACUACCAUU